GUGCCAGCAGCCGCGGUAAUACGUAGGGUGCGAGCGUUAAUCGGAAUUACUGGGCGUAAAGCGUGCGCAGGCGGCUUUGCAAGACAGAGGUGAAAUCCCCGGGCUCAACCUGGGAACUGCCUUUGUGACUGCAAGGCUAGAGUACGGCAGAGGGGGAUGGAAUUCCGCGUGUAGCAGUGAAAUGCGUAGAUAUGCGGAGGAACACCGAUGGCGAAGGCAGGUCUCUGGGUAGUAACUGACGCUGAGGAGCGAAAGCAUGGGUAGCGAACAGGAUUAGAUACCCUGGUAGUCCAUGCCGUAAACGGUGGGCGCUAGGUGUGGGGUUCCUUCCACGGGCUCCGCGCCGUAGCUAACGCAUUAAGUGCCCCGCCUGGGGAGUACGGCCGCAAGGCUAAAACUCAAAGGAAUUGACGGGGGCCCGCACAAGCGGCGGAGCAUGCGGAUUAAUUCGAUGCAACGCGGAGAACCUUACCAAGGCUUGACAUGCACUGGAUCGCUGCAGAGAUGUGGUUUUCUUUGGACUGGUGCACAGGUGGUGCAUGGUUGUCGUCAGCUCGUGUCGUGAGAUGUUGGGUUAAGUCCCGCAACGAGCGCAACCCUCGUUCCAUGUUGCCAGCACUUCGGGUGGGGACUCAUGGGAGACUGCCGGGGUCAACUCGGAGGAAGGUGGGGACGACGUCAAAUCAUCAUGCCCCUUAUGUCUUGGGCUUCACGCGUGCUACAAUGGUCGGUACAAUGGGUUGCGAUACUGUGAGGUGGAGCUAAUCCCAAAAAGCCGGUCUCAGUUCGGAUUGGGGUCUGCAACUCGACCCUAUGAAGUCGGAGUCGCUAGUAAUCGCAGAUCAGCAAUGCUGCGGUGAAUACGUUCCCGGGCCUUGUACACACCGCCCGUC
rnacentral:rRNA from 1 species